GUUUUCCUCUCGCGGCAAUUUCUUUAUAAAUACAAGCUGAAAUUCAUUUCAUUGAAACAAAAUCGUUGUUUUUUUUUUGACACUAUCGUCUUCAAAGCGUACUGCAAUUUAAGGCCAGUGGAGGUAUAAACAGGAAGGCACUGUACGGAUGAAACCAGCAAUCAAGGACCCGUGAAGAACGACGGGGGAACGCUGGGAGGAUGCCACUGGAACGGCAAAGAAAGCAAAAGCCCAGAAUGAGUAAUUGCAACGCAAAUGAGGUGCUCCAAAGACAAAUGAGCCAACCAAAGAGAGAGCCCGUUCCCUCAGUUGGCUGUCUGUCUGCUGGAUUGUCCAAUGGAAGCCCGACUGGUCGUGGAAGAUGGCCGCCCACCUCGGGGGGGGGGACUACGUGACAGCUCCAACCAACACGCUGUAGCAGACAUCAUCGCGACAUCAAUCACACCACUUAAUAAACCGCUAUUUCAAUCACGCACAUCAGUGGUCUUUAUAGGAGGAAAAGCGUAUUGUUCUGUAGACACUGGGAGCAUUGAUGUGCAAAUCAUCCCUCCCAAAGUCCCCACUCUCAGCAGAAUACUGAAAAAGUCCACUUUGCAUUAAGUAAAUAGAUAAAUACAGUAGAAAAGAGACAUUCCGCAGGGGGACAGAACACACGAUGGUCCAAUAUUCC
rnacentral:lncRNA from 1 species